rnacentral:rRNA from 1 species
CUUAGUAUUUAUGUUGAUCGUUAUAGAUCCCAUCUAAUCAUGGAAGCUAAACAAGGUCAAGCCUGAUUAAUACUUGGAUGAAAAACCACUGAGGAACACCAGGGCUAUUGAUU